AUGAACGCUGGCGGCGUGCCUAAUACAUGCACGUCGAGCGAACGGACGAGAAGCUUGCUUCUCUGAUGUUAGCGGCGGACGGGUGAGUAACACGUGGAUAACCUACCUAUAAGACUGGGAUAACUUCGGGAAACCGGAGCUAAUACCGGAUGAUAUUUUGAACCGCAUGGUUCAAAGGUGAAAGACGGUCUUGCUGUCACUUAUAGAUGGAUCCGCGCUGCAUUAGCUAGUUGGUAAGGUAACGGCUUACCAAGGCAACGAUGCAUAGCCGACCUGAGAGGGUGAUCGGCCACACUGGAACUGAGACACGGUCCAGACUCCUACGGGAGGCAGCAGUAGGGAAUCUUCCGCAAUGGGCGAAAGCCUGACGGAGCAACGCCGCGUGAGCGAUGAAGGUCUUCGGAUCGUAAAACUCUGUUAUUAGGGAAGAACAUAUGUGCAAGUAACUGUGCACAUCUUGACGGUACCUAAUCAGAAAGCCACGGCUAACUACGUG
rnacentral:rRNA from 1 species